UUGGAGGGCAAGUCUGGUGCCAGCAGCCGCGGUAAUUCCAGCUCCAAUAGCGUAUAUUAAAGUUGUUGCAGUUAAAAAGCUCGUAGUUGAACUUUGGGCCUGGCUGAUCUGUCCUCCUAAUCGAGCGCACGGAUUCGGUCGGGCCUUUCCUCCUGGGGAACCCGAUGCCCUUCAGUGGGCGUCGUGGGGAACCAGGACUUUUACCUUGAAAAAAUUAGAGUGUUCAAAGCAGGCCUUUGCUCGAAUACAUUAGCAUGGAAUAAUAGAAUAGGACA
rnacentral:rRNA from 1 species